AGAGUUUGAUCCUGGCUCAGGAUGAACGCUAGCUACAGGCUUAACACAUGCAAGUCGAGGGGCAGCAUGGUCUUAGCUUGCUAAGGCCGAUGGCGACCGGCGCACGGGUGAGUAACGCGUAUCCAACCUGCCUUACACUCUUGGACAGCCUUCUGAAAGGGAGAUUAAUACAAGAUGUUAUCAUGAGUAAGCAUUUUCGCAUGAUUAAAGGUUUACCGGUGUAAGAUGGGGAUGCGUUCCAUUAGAUAGUAGGCGGGGUAACGGCCCACCUAGUCUUCGAUGGAUAGGGGUUCUGAGAGGAAGGUCCCCCACAUUGGAACUGAGACACGGUCCAAACUCCUACGGGAGGCAGCAGUGAGGAAUAUUGGUCAAUGGACGAGAGUCUGAACCAGCCAAGUAGCGUGAAGGAUGAAGGUUCUAUGGAUUGUAAACUUCUUUUAUACGGGAAUAAACGAAUCCACGCGUGGAUUUUUGCAUGUACCGUAUGAAUAAGGAUCGGCUAACUCCGUGCCAGUAGCCGCGGUAAUACGGAGGAUCCGAGCGUUAUCCGGAUUUAUUGGGUUUAAAGGGAGCGUAGAUGGGUUGUUAAGUCAGUUGUGAAAGUUUGCGGCUCAACCGUAAAAUUGCAAUUGAUACUGGCAGUCUUGAGUACAGUUGAGGUAGGCGGAAUUCGUGGUGUAGCGGUGAAAUGCUUAGAUAUCACGAAGAACUCCGAUUGCGAAGGCAGCUUACUAACCUGUAACUGACAUUGAUGCUCGAAAGUGUGGGUAUCAAACAGGAUUAGAUACCCUGGUAGUCCACACGGUAAACGAUGAAUACUCGCUGUAGGCGAUAUACAGUCUGCGGCCAAGCGAAAGCAUUAAGUAUUCCACCUGGGGAGUACGCCGGCAACGGUGAAACUCAAAGGAAUUGACGGGGGCCCGCACAAGCGGAGGAACAUGUGGUUUAAUUCGAUGAUACGCGAGGAACCUUACCCGGGCUUAAAUUGCAACCGAAUAUGGCGGAAACGCUAUAGCUAGCAAUAGCGGUUGUGAAGGUGCUGCAUGGUUGUCGUCAGCUCGUGCCGUGAGGUGUCGGCUUAAGUGCCAUAACGAGCGCAACCCUUGCCGAUAGUUACUAACAGGUUAUGCUGAGGACUCUGUCGGGACUGCCAUCGUAAGAUGUGAGGAAGGUGGGGAUGACGUCAAAUCAGCACGGCCCUUACGUCCGGGGCUACACACGUGUUACAAUGGGGGGUACAGAGGGCUGCUACCACGCAAGUGGAUGCCAAUCCCAAAAACCUCUCUCAGUUCGGAUUGAAGUCUGCAACCCGACUUCAUGAAGCUGGAUUCGCUAGUAAUCGCGCAUCAGCCACGGCGCGGUGAAUACGUUCCCGGGCCUUGUACACACCGCCCGUCAAGCCAUGGGAGCCGGGGGUACCUGAAGUGCGUAACCGCAAGGAGCGCCCUAGGGUAAAACUGGUGACUGGGGCUAAGUCGUAACAAGGUAGCCG
rnacentral:rRNA from 1 species